GGGCUGCAGUGAGGAAUAUUGGGCAAUGGACGCAAGUCUGACCCAGCAACGCCGCGUGGAGGAUGAAUGUCGUAAGAUUGUAAACUCCUUUUGGAGGGGACGAAAAAACGGGUUUGUAGCCUGUAUUGACUGUACCCUCAGAAGAAGCCCCGGCUAACUACGUGCCAGCAGCCGCGGUAAUACGUAGGGGGCAAGCGUUGUCCGGAUUUACUGGGUGUAAAGGGCGCGUAGGCGGGUUUGUAAGUCAGAGGUGAAAUCCUGCGGCUCAACCGUAGAACUGCCUUUGAUACUGCAAACCUUGAGUUCAGAAGAGAGUGACGGAAUUCCAGGUGUAGUGGUGAAAUACGUAGAUAUCUGGAAGAACACCAGUGGCGAAGGCGGUCACUUGGUCUGUAACUGACGCUGAGGCGCGAAAGCGUGGGGAGCGAACAGGAUUAGAUACCCCGGUAGUC
rnacentral:rRNA from 1 species